AUUGAACGCUGGCGGCAUGCUUUACACAUGCAAGUCGAACGGUAACAGGCCGCAAGGUGCUGACGAGUGGCGAACGGGUGAGUGAUGCAUCGGAACGUGCCCAGUCGUGGGGGAUAACGCAGCGAAAGCUGUGCUAAUACCGCAUACGAUCUGUGGAUGAAAGCGGGGGACCGAAAGGCCUCGCGCGAUUGGAGCGGCCGAUGUCAGAUUAGGUAGUUGGGGGGGUAAAGGCUCACCAAGCCAACGAUCUGUAGCUGGUCUGAGAGGACGACCAGCCACACUGGGACUGAGACACGGCCCAGACUCCUACGGGAGGCAGCAGUGGGGAAUUUUGGACAAUGGGCGCAAGCCUGAUCCAGCAAUGCCGCGUGCAGGAAGAAGGCCUUCGGGUUGUAAACUGCUUUUGUACGGAGCGAAAAGGCUCUCUCUAAUACAGGGGGCUCAUAACGGUACCGUAAGAAUAAGCACCGGCUAACUACGUGCCAGCCGCCGCCGUAAUAC
rnacentral:rRNA from 1 species